GACGAACGCUGGCGGCGUGCCUAACACAUGCAAGUCGAACGAAGAAUGUUUUUCGGAAUAUUCUUAGUGGCGGACGGGUGAGUAACGCGUGAACAAUCUGCCCCGUACAAAGGGAUAGCCUCGGGAAACCCGGGAUUAAAACCAUAUAACGCUUUAGUACCGCAUGGUAAUAAAGUCAAAUCGAUUAAGAGGUAUGGGAUGAGUUCGCGUCUGAUUAGCUAGUUGGUGAGGUAAGGGCUCACCAAGGCGACGAUCAGUAGCCGGCCUGAGAGGGUGAACGGCCACACUGGAACUGAGACACGGCCCAAACUCCUACGGGAGGCAGCAGUGAGGGAUAUUGCACAAUGGGCGAAAGCCUGAUGCAGCGACGCCGCGUGAGGGAUGACGGUCUUCGGAUUGUAAACCUCUGUCCUUGGUGAAGAAGAAAGUGACGGUAGCCAAGGAGGAAGCCACGGCUAACUACGUG
rnacentral:rRNA from 1 species